rnacentral:rRNA from 1 species
AGAGUUUGAUCCUGGCUCAGGAUGAACGCUAGCUACAGGCUCAACACAUGCAAGUCGAGGGGAAACGACAUCGAAAGCUUGCUUUUGAUGGGCGUCGACCGGCGCACGGGUGAGUAACGCGUAUCCAACCUGCCCACCACUUGGGGAUAACCUUGCGAAAGUAAGACUAAUACCCAAUGACGUCUCUAGAAGACAUCUGAAGGAGAUUAAAGAUUUAUCGGUGAUGGAUGGGGAUGCGUCUGAUUAGCUUGUUGGCGGGGUAACGGCCACGAAGGCGACGAUCAGUAGGGGUUCUGAGAGGAAGGUCCCCCACAUUGGAACUGAGACACGGUCCAAACUCCUAGGCAGGCA